rnacentral:lncRNA from 1 species
AUGGUAUGAUCAAAAUAGGUUAGAGAUGAUUGCCAAACCAAUUGAAUUUUGAUCUUCUCUGGUCUAACAUUUGGAGAGAAUAUUCUUUAGAUUGCUCAUAGCCACAUGAAGUCAUCUGACCUCUAUAGAAAAACCUAUGUGAAGACUACCGCAGAUCAAGGGCUUGGAGGUGCUAGCCUGCAAGCAACUUCGACGGCUGAUCUCUUCUUUUUUCUUCAAGCAUCUUAGACACUCCAAAGUAAGAUAGAUUUGUAGGAGGAAGAGAUGAGGAGGAAAAAAGCUCUAAAAAAAAUAAAAACCAGCAAGGGAGGGAUGUUAUGAUGCCAAGAAGAG